GUUAUAUUUACAUAAUCUAUAGGCAGUCAACUGCCUGUAAUGUAAUUAGUUAUGAUCAACUGACGUGUGGAAAUCAGACCCUAUAGCCGGUAAGGAUACAGAGUAGGCAUGUGUUUAUUGGUGACGCACGUACACCCUGGUGCAAGGGGGAUCGCUCCACCUAACUUGCACACCAUCAGGAGAAAUCGUGCUAUAGAUAUAGAUCGAACUAAUACAUAAUCAAUAGUUGACAGGAAUUCGGAUACAUAUUCAUUACAUUCCCGAGAGCCCAUUAGCAUGCAGUCCCUCCCCCCCCUUGCGCGUGCGUAGUAGGUCAUGAUGAUGAAGGCUCAUAGUCUUCCUCGCGAAGGCUCGUAGCCUUCCUUGCUGCAAACUUCUGCCCCCAAAGGGGGGGCAUCUCCUGAACCGGUUUCAACUUGCCCUGUAGAUAUCUAAUCACCUCCCUGCCAAAUGUUUUUGAGCUGCUCUCCAGUCCUUAUCUUUAUGGCCUUCAUCCUCCUUGAUAUUCCAGACCUAGUGUCUGUGAAAGUGCUUGGAAUCCCUUGUUUUCUAACACUCCUUACAUAAACUAUCUCUAUUUGCUCCUUAUUUCUACUUUGUGAAGCUACUUUCCCUUUUCUUGCUCUGAGGCCCUUCUCUCUAUAACUGCAGGGUCCUGUUCUCACUCUUCACAACCCUGAUGUAUUCUCCCCAUGGCUAAAUUUUGAGAUCUUUAUUAUAACAGCUCUUUUUUUUUGUGCCACAGAAGGAUCUUUUUCUUCACUGUGUUCAUACAUCUACUCUUUGGACAAUUUAUCAAAGUAUAUAUUUUCUGUUAACCUGUUCAUUCAUCUUAGAAAUUUUCUUAUAUCUAUCUAAUUUUCUUUUAAGUAGCUUUAAUACAGAGUAUCUGGAGGAUGUUUUUCAUUUGUAAUUCAGCAAAAUCUUAAUGCAUUCUCUGCCAUGCAUAUUUUUACUACUCUUCAGAAGCCCCAGAAAUCCAGGUCAUAGCAAUAUAUGUAUAGUGAAAGUGUGUACAUAUGCACAUUUUAUACUUUCUUAGCAACUUCUUACUAGUAUGUCUCUAAUUAUAGAAUUUUUUUUUUUUUUUUUUUUUUUUUUUUUUUUUUUUUUGCUAUGGGUUCUUGUCUGUCUGUUUUUUAUUUGAUUCCUUUUCAUGUUACAAGGAUUGUUCAGUUGCAUCCUGUGGGAUAGGAAAACAGUUUCUGAUGACAGUGUUCCAAAACCAAUAAAGUAUCAGCUUAGUACUCCUAUUUCUUAUCCUAGUAUUUGUAUCUAUACAUAAAAUGACUAGUGACCAUAUUUUCAUUCACCAAAAACAUACAAGCAAAACAGAAAAACAGAGGAAAGUAUACUACAGUAAACAUAUUCAAGGUCCAAGAAUUUGCCACAAACAAAGAAAAAAUCUCAGAUCUCUUAUCUCCUUUUUCUUAUCUUAAUUACACAAAUACAUGACUUGUAUAUUGCUGGUCAUCAAGGAGUGCAUAGAAUCAUAGAAUCGCUUGGGUUGGAAGGGACCUCAAGGAUCAUCAAGCUUCAGCCCACCUGCCACAUGCAGGGCCACCAACCUACAUAUCCAAUACUAGACCAGGCUGCUCAGGGCCCCAUCCAGCCUGGCCCUUAACACCUCCAGGGAUGGGGCAUCCACAACCUCUCUGGGCAGCCUGUCUCAUAUUGCUUUGAGAAGAGUGAGGCAAUUUGAGUGCAUGCAGGAGUACCAAACAUAUUGAUGUCAUCCUGACUAUCCCAUUUCCCUUUAAUCCAGAAAGUGAUGGGAAUGUUCCAGGAUUUUUUUACAAAUGUUAUUCCUUAAAUAUAAUCCAAAUGUUUGUUAUCAUAAUGCCAUAACACUUCAUGCAGUAUAUAUCAUACUUAGUCUGGAGAAAAGCAGGCUGAGGGGAAAUCUCAUAACUCUUCCUGCCUGAAAGGUAGGAAGGAGAGUGCUGGUCUUUUUUCUUGGAUGUUAAGUGGUAGAACACAAUGAAAUAGCCUCAAGUUGUGCCAAGGGGGAUUUAGAUUGGAUAUUAAGAAGAAUCUCUUCACAGAAAUGGUGAUAAAGCAUUGGAACAGGUUGCUUAGAGAAGUGGUAGAGUUGCAUCCCUGGUAGUAUUUAAGAGAUGUGAAUUUGGCUCUUAGGGACAAAUUUUUAGUGGCAGAUUUGGUAGUAUUAGGUUGAUGGUUGGACUUGAUUUUAAAGACCUUUUCCAGACUAAUUGAUUAUGUGAUUCUAUGAUUCCAUGAAAAGGAAUGAAUAAUUCCCUCUGUGUCUUCUAGUUCUAGCUUUCUUCAUUUGGGGAGAAACACACAGCAUAUAUUGAUUAUAGAUAUUGUUCCUAGUGCAGUUGGUAAGAUAAAUUAGUGCUAAAUACAUUGUUGAUAUGGAUUCAAUUCUCCAGUUUUCGACUGGGUUACUUACUUGAGAGAAAAAUCUCAGUAAACAGAACUGUUUUCUUGUUUGGGUUCACCUCACUGCUAAAUCUUGAGGCUUUGUAAAGUGUAAUGAACUGUUAAUUUGCAGACUAUAAUGGAUUUACUUUGUUUCCUAUAGCUCACAAUAAGGCAGAGAAAGUUGCACGUUAAUCACAUAACUGUUACUUUACUAAUGCUUUUUUCCCCGUAUUUUAAAUGUGGAAGUAUUUUGCAAUGACUACAGCUAUUAAAAAAAAAAAAGAAAAAAAAAAAAAGAAAUUAUCAUAAAAUAGGAACAGAUCAAGUUUAUAUCCAAUUUAUUACUAUUUUAUCCUGAGGGACUGAGAUUUUAGUCUACAUUAAAAAUGUUUUAAAUAUUGUGUAGAGGGAAAAGUAUUUAAGGUCCCAGUUCACCAAUCCGUCCCUUUCAGCAAAACACUAAAAAACAUUUGAUUCCUAUUAACUUUAAUGGGUUUAAGCAUGUUUAAAUUUAAUGGACCUAAAGUUGUAACAAAUCAGUGGAUCUAAGGCAGUUUUUUUCUUCUGCAUCUAUUCUUGCCAGACAGAAUCCUGAGCAGUUCACAUAACAGUAAGUUCUAAAAGUCCUCAUGGGGCAAUGUGAGCUUUGUAACUCCUAUCAAUUAUUAUUAUUAUUUUAAUUUAAGGUAGCAGACAGACUUUCUAUUCUAGCUUUUUGGACUGAGAUGAGGCUUUUGGGAGUGAACAAGAUGAAUUAUCCAGUGAAUCCAUCUUGCAUUACUUUGAAUGGAACUUAUUGUCUGAAUGAAGGAAUAUCUCUUCUAUGCCACGUGGAUGAUCAAAAUAUUCUUUUUCCAUAAAGGUCUAAAAAUGCUCGGGUUUCAGGCUGAAAUUUGGUGCUUUCUGAGACAUAAAAGGUCAAAAUUUUAGUUAUAAUUUCUUUCAAUAGCAUCAACAUAACAAGAGGCUUUAAAGUGCAACAGUGAUUCUGGUCUGGCCUUAGAUCUAACAGAAGUUACAGAAAACAUUUUUCCACUUUUAGGUUGGUCGUUUUUUUGUUGGUGGUGGUGGAUGUUUUUUUUUUUUUUUUGGUUGGUUGGUUUUGUUUGUUUGUUUUUGCUUUUGCUUUUUGUUUUUGUUUUCCUUCUGUCAUGGUUUUAUGAUUUUUGUUAUUGGUAUUCCACAUCAUAACAUCAUGUAAAGCACUGGGAGUUAAAGAGUUAAUGCCUCACUUCAGUGGACUGCUGAUUUUCCAGAUACCUGGUUCUUAGAAAAGAACUACAUACCCAAAGGACUUUGCAUCCAGAAGGAAAGAUAGAACUCCUGGCAAGUCAUGAGACUGGUCUCUUUCUCUUUCUCAUUGCCUGGCAGUGUGUGUGCUCCCCAGCCAUUUUGCCUUCAAUUCAGAGUAAGGCCUUCAAUUUCAGACACUCCUUCUCUCUUCUUUUUUUGUUUUAUUAGCCUCAAUUCCAAUUAUACCAUAUUAUACUGUGUUGUCUUGCAUUCCAAUAUCAUAUUUAGUAAAUUAACUUUAAAUUAACCUCAGAUCAUUGCUGCUGUUAUAUUGUUUAGGCCCAUCUCCAGUCUCACUACCCUUUCCCUUUCUUUCCCUUCCCCUUUUCUCAGGGCAUGAGUCCAUAGAUCCACUACCCCAUUAGUCACAGUACUGAGCCAAACUGGCCCGUAAAUGGUUGACAUUCCCCCCACAUCCCCCCCCCCUUUUCAGGCCAGUGGGCCUGUGGGCCUGCUGUCCCACUGUCACGGACACAGAGAGAUCUAGAGAUAACUCCAUGACACCUUCCAUAUUCAUAGACUAUAAGUAAGGAAGAGAAGUAUACUGUUUUUUUUUUUUUUUUUACAACAUUUGAUUUGCUCAAGCCAGAAAUUCAGUUUUGGACUAACCACUGCAAGAAACUAACUUAUUCAAGUGUUUCAAAGACACUGACAAUACAUAUUCUUAACAUAUUUAUCAGAAAUUAGAUUUCUAGCUUAUUGCCUGAGCAUGCUCAAUUCCAUCAAGUCUUACUGAAAAUUUCAUUAUGGUUUCUUUCUGCUGAAUAUAUAGUAUAAGAUACUUUCUGGCCAGAAGUCACUGGUUUAACUAAGCAAUCACAUUAAUGCAAAAAUGCAUAUGCAAAAUGAAUUUGAUCUGUGGAGCACAAUUCCACAGAAUAGUAGGUAGGUUUAAUCUUAAACAGACAAGUGAUUAUUUAAAAAGUGAAAAAUGAAGUGAAGUAAAUAAAUCCCAUUUUUAAGUAAAUAAUGUCUAGUCAUGGAGUCUGAGGAAGGGGUGCAUGUGUAUUUCAAGGCAAGAGAGGUUUUGCAUAGAUUUCUUCCUGGGAAUUCAUUAGGCAUUUCAUUAUUUUAGAUUGGUCACUAACCAAUAAAUUUUCCACUUUUCAUCAGAUAUCUUGACAAAGUGUAUGAAAAUCUCUUGGUAUUUGUCUAAAAUCUAAUCAGGCUUUAGUCAUAUAUAUGUGACACAAAGAAUAAUUUUAAAAACUGUAACAUUUUCAGUUGAUAAGAACCACAUUUGUUGCUGUUUAAGCAAUACAGCUUACAAAAUAUGGCGUACAGAUGGAUUUUUGUUAAUUUUUAUCUUUUUUUUUUUUUUUUACAGCAGGUUAGUGUCAUCCCAUCAUUUAAUCCUCUUCUUCUUCUUAAAAAAAAAAGCACUUAUCCACUGCAAUACAUAGAAAUUUGAUUUUUCUAGCUCCAAGAAAGCUUUUUUUUUUUUUUUUCCCCCCGACAUUAGCAUUUAGAAAGUCAUAGAGCUGCUUUUGCACCUUAGGUUUUAUAAUUUAUUUGUUUCUUUAUUUUUCUUAUAGUCCAGUUUUAAUAGAUAGAUUUUUCUUCUAUUAAUGAAGAAUAAAAUAUAAAAUUUAUAUUUCAUUUAUAUUUGCUAUCUAGUUGUCAUUCUUCUGAUUAGCUAAAAUAGCCAAAAUAAUAACUUCAGCUUGAAGGGACCAGCAAGGAUCAUUAAGUCCAGCUCCUGGCUCCACACAGUAUCAUCCAAAAUACAAACUGUGUUUCAGAGAGUGUUAUCCAAAUGCUUCUUAACUCUGGCAAUCUUGAUGUCACAAUCACUUCCCUGGGGAGCCUGUUCCAGUGCCUAGAAUCUUCGUGGGCAAGCUAUAAACUGUAAUGAAGUUUUCCCUCAGUCUCCUCUUCUCUAGGCUGAAUAGACCAGGUGAUUUCAACCACUCUUGCUCUCUAGACACUUCACCAUCUUUGUAGCCCUCCUUUGUAUGCUCUCUCAUAGUUCUCUUUCUUGCAUUGCAGUGCCCAAAACUUCAUUCUGUACUUGAGAUGAAACUGCACGAGCACACCUUUAGACUGACCUGUCAGCCAGUUGUAUUAUGUUGGAUUGCCGAGGUUAGCUGCCUCGGAGCUGUCCCAGCCAGAACCACAGCAACUGAUCAUGAGGCACCAAAGUAAAAUUGAAAUACCUAAAGCUCUUUGAAGAAAAGCAGAAUUUCUUAUCAGUAUUUGUUUAUACCUGGGAAGAAAAGGAAAGCUAUUUGUCACCCAGUAUUCAAGAUGACUCUUACUGCCUUAAAUUAAAUAAGUAUAUGAAAAUAUUAUUAAAUUAAUGUGUAGUUAAUUUUGCUUGGCUGAUUUUAAGGAAGUAAUCCUUGGUACCCAAAACUAUGAAGAUCUUCUGUUCUCAGCAGGAAAGCAGUUACUUUUCAUGCAUAUGCAAAGCACAGCAUAACAAAAGACCUCAUGAUCCCAUAACAACUUAUCCCGUAUGAAUAAACAUUAUUAAGCUGUAAUCUUUACUACAUGUUGUUCUUUAACAUGCUUUUGUUUUAGACUGCCUUAGAAGAUAAUGUUCUCUCAUUUGUUAGGCUAGAAUUCAGACACCUUAAGUAAUUUUUUAAUUUUCUUUUUAUUUUUUCCCUCCUUUUUUUUUUUUUUUUUCCCAUUUACAGAUUUGUCUGCUUGCAAGUUUAUGCCUUCAUCAGUUCCAUAUUUUCUGCUUACACAGAUACAUUUGAAUGUGGAAAAUUUAGACCUGCCAUUUUUUAUUUCAGAGAGAAUAGUUUAGGGGAAUGACAAUGCAAUAAAAGGUAAUGGACAGGUGAGAGAUGGAAGAACUGUCACAUUGACAGUAAUUUUAGUCUUUUCUCUCAGGCUUAUUUGCUUCUCAUGAUGCAUAACUGCAGGAGUUAUGUAAAUAUUUUAAUCAGGUAACAAAUACUGAUUGAAUUACAUAGUGGGACUGAUAUAAUGGGACUUAAGCUGGAUUUGUGGUGAUUUUUCUGGUGAUUAUUUUCUACAUAUUCAUCAGUGUCUUUAAAUCUAAAGUAUCUUUCAAAAAAUUUUAAAGCUUUUAAAGAACCUGAAAAUGCUUGCAAAACACCUGGGAGAAAUAAUGAUUUAUUCCACUGAAUUUUUGCAGUGUUUUAUAGUGUUUCAUUCCAUAAGAUUAGAAUAGACAUCUACUCCAAAUUUAGGAGAUGUCUUUUUACAAGAAUGAUAAAAACCAUGCCUACAAACCCAGGCCUUGUAUUCCCGGAAGCUUAUCUCAGAACAUAAACACCAGUAACAAACUGCUUGUCAAUAUUGUACAAAGAAGAAAUAGAAAGGUAUAACUGUACCAGUGCAUAAGUUGAUGGUAUAACUGCACCAAUGGGCAAGGGAAAAGCCAUUGAUAUAAUUUAUUUGGACUAUUGUAAGGCCUUCAAUGGGGUCCUACAAAUCAUCCUUCUCUCCAAAUUGGAAAGAUAUGGAUUUAAUAUGUGGACUGUUCAAUAAACGAGGAAUUGGUUUGAAGAUUGUACCCAGAGAAUGAUGGUCAGUAGCUCAAUGUCUAGAUGGAGAUUGGUGGUGAGUGGUCUCUCUCAGGAAUCAUUACUGUGACUGAUGCUCUUUAUUGUCUUCAUCAGUUACGUUGACAGUAAGAUCGAAUACAUCCUCAGCAAGUUUGCAUGCGACACCAAGCUGUGUGGUGCAAUAGACACAGAUCAGGACAGGAUGACAUCCAGAGAGGCCUAGACAGGCUCAAUCAGUGGGUCCAGAAGAACAUCAUGAGGUUCAACAAAGCCAAGUGCAGGGUCUUGUACCUGGGUCAUGGCACCCCCUGCUAUCAAUACAAGCUACAGGAUGUAAAGGUGGAGGUCAGCCCUGCCAAUAAAGCCCUGGUGAUAAUGGAUAAUGUGCUGGAUAUGAGCCAGCAAUGUACCCUCACAGCCCAGGCAGUCAAUCAUAUCCUGGGUUGCAUCAAACAGACAAGUGAGUUGAACUUGCUCCUAUACUGUGCAAUAGUGAGACCUCACCUGGAGUACUGUGUCCUGAUGUGAAGCCCGCAGUACAGGAGAGACAUGGACCUGCUGGAGCACAAUUUCAUUCAUAAUUUCCUUCUUGAUCUAUAGAAAUGAAAGUCAACUAUUCUUUCACAUUCUGUGAAACUGAUGGAAAGAACAGUCUACCCCAUUCUUCUGUAGUUUACUUUUUUUGGUACACAUCACUUAUUUUAAGGAGACUCCAAAGAACAAUUUUGUAAUUUUAUUACCAGAACAUUUUUGUAACAGUUGAUGGAGUACUAGAAGUUAUUGUGUUGCUGAUGCUGAUAUAUAUAUAUUUUUUUUCAAUAACAUUUUUCAAAUGCAUUUCCUUCGGUAAUUUUACUAAGCAAUUUUUUAAAAUUCAC
ensembl:lncRNA